rnacentral:lncRNA from 1 species
AUUUUUUUCCCACUCUUCCUUACCCAUUUUGUUCUUGCAUUUAAUGUUUGCAUGUGAAAACCAUCAUUUUCUGACCUUGCGUCAGAAACCUUUUUUCCCUAGCCACACAAGUCUUUUUCAGUGUGUUUUGUAAGCAACCCUUUGUCUUCCACUCUCAUUCUUCUCACGCACUUUUCUGUUUCUCAUUCAUUUGGUGCAAAAACCCUAAAAAUGCCUUUUUCUUCUAUUUCAAAAAUUUCCGUUAUUACUCUUCUGGUACACCGCUCUUCUGUUGUCGCACGGACAUUGUUCUUUUUUCUGUUCGAAAAUCUCCGUUUUACUGAUAUGCAUUUUGAACGACGAUCGGCAGGAACGAGGUUUCUAUGAUUUCUAUGAACCCAAUCGACUGUUUCUUCGGUAAGAUCUACAGUUUAGGCUUUAUUUUUUGUAGUUGUGUGGAAAUCGUUCUUUUUUCGGUUCGAACAUCUUUUAUACUGAUUGUGUAUUUUGAACGACGAUCAAUAGGAACGAGGUUGCUAUGAACCCAAUUGACAGUUGAAGAAAGAGUUCGAUAGAAAGGGCAAAAAUUGCGGUAAGAUCUAUGUUCCCUUCGUUAAGCUACUUUCUGUAUUUAUAUUUGUGCGUUGUUCAUCUAGAUCUAAGUCCCAUCUUGGCUUAUUUUUUUAAUUUCUAAUAAUUGAUUUAAUGCAAUUAUUCUAAUAUAUAUGGUAUAUUCAGGUCCCAAUGUUUAUAAACAGCCAAGAUAAGAAGCAGAAAUGACAAUGCAAGAAUUACCCAUUCAUCUUAGUAUACUAUUGUAAGUGCCAUCUUGUCUCAUUGCUUUUAGCUCUUGUUUGAGCCCUAUUUUUCAUCAAAAUACAUUAUUCAAAAGUGAUUUAAUAUUAUUUCAGCAACAUAUUUUUUAAUAAAAUAAUAUUAUAAAUUUUUUUCUUAUUUUUAAAUCACAUACUCUUCAUCGUAACAUUAUUGCAAAAUAUAUUUUUCUAGAAAAAUGGGCUCAAACAACCUCUUAAUUUGUAGAUGCUGCAAUAUCAUAUCCUUUUACCACUUCGUUCCUAUCCACUUUCAUUUUUUAAUGCAUGCUUUAUUAUUUGAUGGGUAAAAUAUUUUAUGCUCCUGUAAACCAGCAAUUGUUAUGUCAAACAUUUUUAUCAUCAUGUACUACCACGUUCUACACCUGCGUGGCAAGUAUUAAUUUUAUUUUUGUGUUUCUUUGUGCAUUAGUAUCAACUUUUCAACUGGUCACCUUUAGGUAGAGCAUUGGUAAGUCAUGUAAUGUAUUUGACCUCCAUUAGAGGGAAGGGGUGCGUUUGGGGGCGCGGGGGGGGGGGGGGGGGGGGGGGGAGGACGUUAGAACCUGUGAUCGAAAGGGUAUGUUCAAAUUUUUUGUUCUAAGCAGGUCAAUUCUCUAUAAAUCUGACAUUUUGUACCAUUGGAAACAUUGCAACUGGAGCCUCAAUGGUAUAUAUCUAGUCCAAGUUAUCCACGUUCAAAUUUGGAUUCAUUGUCAUAUAACCUACAGUUGGUUGAGGGUUUAUGUUGUGGUAAUGAUCGAUAAGGUUCAAUGUUAGUCCACUUAAUACUGAAAAAGCAUCAAGAAAAGUUUGAUAGCCAGGGGAUGGAGGAGGAAACUGAUGAUUUGCCUGUGGAACUUGAAGUGGAGAAUUUUCAAUAGGAUCAAUUAAUCUUAUCAAGAAUUGCUUGAGCAAGAAACAUGUUAUUUUGUGUUCGAAAUCUCCUUGGAUUCCAGGCAUGUAAAAAUAUAUUUUUCAUAAUAAUUAAAUAUCUCCUCAUCCAUAUUUUUUUUGGCUGAAAGGGGAAGAAGAGAAAUAGAGUGAGAGGUGUGUCUGCUUGGCUGAAAGGGGGAAGAAGGAGGAAGAGAAAUGGAGAGAAGAGUGAGAGGCAUCUGCUUUUGGAAAGAAACACUCCCUCACCUUAUAUAGGAAUAAACCUACAUGUACAGAAAAUAUUUCACUUGUACAAAAAGUGGGACGCGGGCUUGGAGGAAAGUGUUAAUAAAAUUCAUUAAAUUAUUUAUGUUUUUAUCUUAAUUUUCGGGCUCAUACGAGAUAUCAAACGAAAUCGAAAUAUUACAUUCUUAACAUUAUUUUGAAGUCACGACCUAGUAUUUCACGUCGUUAAUGGUGCGCGAAAUGGCCAAAAAUAACAAAUUUUCUUAAAAUUGUUUUCCAGAUGAUACUGAGAUAAACACCUCAAAUUUAUUUGAUUAACAGUAACGUAUGGAAACAACUUUUGGGGCUUUGCGUGGUUAAAAACUUCAAUAAGACGUAAAAAUAGAGUUGUUCAUGCAGGUGUUUUGCGUGCUAAAGCCGGUUCUUGGAAAUUAGAUCAUGGUGUUACUAAUAUCGAAGAUGUUCUAAAUAAGAUCACAUUCACCUUCGAUUAAAGGGACUAAGGGAAAGUUAAGAUAAUUCUUAAGAGAUGUAGCAAGCCUACUGACUGGAGGAUGGGAGAAUAUACAUAUAAUAAAAAUAAGGGUAAGAAGCAAUUUUAUCCAUCUCUGAAUGUACACCCAAUUGAUUAUUUGAUCCAUAUUGAUACACUCUUUUUACAUGUGAAAUACUUUAUGUACGUGUAAGUUUAUUCCUAUAUAAGGGGAGGGAGUGUUUCUUCCCAAAAGUAGACACGCCUCUCACUCUUCUCUCCAUUUCUCUUCUUCCUUCUUCACCCUUUCAGCCAAGUAGACACGCCUUUCACUCUUCUCUCCAUUUCUCUUUUUCCCCUUUCAGCCAAAAGAAAAAUAUGGAUAAGGAGAUACUUAAUUAUCAUGAAAAAUAUAUUUUUACAUGUUUGGAAUCUAAGGAGAUUUGGAACACAAAACAUGUUUUUUGCUCAAGCAAUUCUUGAUAAGAUCAAUUGAUACUACUGAAGAUUCUUCACUUCAAGUUCCACAGACAAAUCAUCAGUUUCCUCCUCCGUCUACUGGCUAUCAAAGUUUUCUUGAUGCUUUUGAAAGUUCAGUAUUAAGUGAACUAACAUUGGACCUUAUCGAUCAUUAUCACAAUAUAAACCAUCAACCAACUGUAGGUAAUAUGACAAUAGAUCUAAAUUUGAACGUGGAUAACCUGGACCAGAUGCAUACCAUUGAGGCUCCGGUUGCAAUGUUUCCAAUGGUACAAAAUAUGUCAGAUUUAGAGAGGAUUGACCUGCUUAGAACAAAAAAUUUGAACAUACCCUUUCGAUCACAGUUCCUGAUAUUUAACCAUACACCGGAUAUCUCAUCAGGUAUUCACAUAUUUACUGCAUCAUUUUUAGUUGGAAAAAAAUUGUGGUUGAUAAAAAUGUUGUCUAUUUUUCUUAAUAUCAUUUUCCAAAUAAAAUUUUCACCGAGAUAAACACCUUGAAUUUAUUUGAUUAAUAGUAACGUAUGGAAACGACUUUUGGGGCUUUGCGAGGUUAGAAAAUUCAAUAAGACACAAAAAUAGAGUUGUUCAUGCAAGUGUUCCGCGCCGGUUCUUGGAAAUUAGAUCAUGGUGUUACUAAUAUUAAAGGUGUUCUCCUCAUUAACCGUUUUCUUUAAUUCUUUAAUUAUUAUUUAUUAAUAUACAAACUAACCAUUUUUUUUUUUUAGUUAUAUCCAUAUAUUUUGGUUAGGAUUUACCAAAAUUGAACAAAGGAAAAGUAGUCACAUGGGUGAUAAUAAGAUGGUAUGACAAUAUUAACUUUGUUUAUAUAUAUAUAUAAAUUGUUUUUAUACAAAAUAAUAUUUUUCUUUUUACCAAAAUGUUUUUGUUAGGGUUUACAAGGGGUGCGGAUAAAGGAAGCGUUGCAAAUUCUAGUGUUCAAUUUUAACUAUAUAAAAAAGACAUUGAUGUUUUGAAUGUUACGGAAGGAUAUUGGGAAAUAUUUGUAUUUGCAAUUGGGUAAUACCAUGGUUCUCAUUAUUUUGAUUUGUUACCAUAUUUAGUUAUUAAAAAUGCAAAUGGUUCAAAUUUCACAAGUAAGCAAUGAAAUAACUAGGGUGUUUUACAUAUGUAAGGCAAUGCGUUUGCCAGCUUGGUGUAUUUUGAUGCGUGAACCAUAUAACAAUUCGGUAGAAAUAAAAAUAUGAAAUGCGUUUAUAAUAAUUCACAAAUCAUCUCAAAACUUCAUUGUAAAAAAUAUAUAUCGAAAUUAAAUUCUAGAAGUUAAUAGCUCGUACACAGUAAUAAACACGACUAAAUAUUGCAUAGCCUAAGUUACCUAAUGAACCUUGUGUUGUUUGAAGGAGAACAUUAUUGUCUGAGGACACAAUUAAAUAAGUUUUUAUACACUAAACUCAAUUAAAUAUGUGAAUCAAGUUUAUAAGACAUCUCAUUCACUCACAAAUUGUGAAGAUCCACAACCUAUUCCGAAAGAAUAGCCACGACAUCUGACAUAAUUAAAGCAUUAGUUGCUGACAAACUUUUUCAACUUGUACUUGAAAAAUAUAAUUCAUUUUGAAAGUAAAAAUACACUAUCAAUGAUUAUUAUCAAAGUUUGGGGUUGUUCAGUAAAUCUCUUGAUUCAGUGACCAUUGGGGGUAAUGAACCCUAAGUAAGCAACAUAUAUUUAUAUGAACUUAGGUUAUGCUACUUCAUUUGAAUGUAAUGUAUCAUAUAAUCGUAUUAAUUGAUGUGUUUUGAUAAUGCUAUUAAGCAAGCUGGGCUUAGGUGUGAUUUCGAUACAAAUCUUCCACAGGUGGAAAUCGACCGACUAUCUAUUCACUGAAGAUAAUGUUCAAACUAGUAUGUGUGUUUAUGAACUUAGAUUAUGUCUCCAAAUUGUUUGCUACCUAAUAAAGAAAUUCGUCAUAACUUGCUGUUGUAUUAAUCAAUGGCUGGAAAGAAUAGGGGUAUCUGUCAUAGUUGUUGACAACCUGGGCAUCAACUGUAUGAAUGUCCCAAAAAAAAAAAAAAAAUAUAUAUAUAUAUAUAUAUAUAUCUGAACUGUUUACAAGGAAUUGUAAAAAUGAUGGAGGUUGAGAAGAAUACGCACAACAUAAGCUGAAUAUUCUUGUGUUGUACAAAAGAUUGCGUAUAUUUUGACUGGAAUGACAGGAAGUCCUCGAAGAAGAAACUCUUGCCAUUUGAAGGACAGCCUAGUAAUUAUUGUGAUGGAAUGCAAUCAAGCACCAUUGGGACGUCUCUAAAUAAAGCUAAAGCACCAAUUGAUGACCUGUUGAAAAGUGUUGCCGAAUUAAAGAUAGAAGAAGGGGAUGUGGAGAUAUCAUUCAACAUAACUAUCCGAAAGGGAAAAAGGAAAUUGGAAGAUAUUGUCAAGGAAAAGCGAAUGGAGUAGAACUGAUUUUUAUGUUAAUGUUUAGGUGUCUUAUGUAGUUGUAGCAGCCCGUCGAACUUAUGUAAUCAGAUGUCUCAACGAAGCUUAUGUUUAUGUUAAUGUUGAGCCACAUUUUAAUUCCAUGGUUCUGUGUAGAAGAGCUAGAUAAGGUAGAUUCGAUUCAUGACUAACUUGAACACGAUAACUGACAAUUUCUAGUGCCAAUGAUGCAGCUUUAUCAGGAAAGAAUCUGUAAGCAUAACCCCCACAAGAAUAUGUACGGUUUGGGUAAAUUGUAUGUUCGUUCCAAUUAUUCAUCUUGAGUUAAAAAGCAAUUGUAAUAGUUUGUCUCCUAUGUGGCACUUAAGUUGAUCAAAUUUCCUUUCCA